UACGGAUGGGAGGGAGGGCUCUGCUGCAAACAACCAUUUUUCUACAAACCAGAGCAGCAAUAAAUAACAGUAUUGAACAUCCUUCUGAUUCAAUCAGCAUGUACCAUUAAUAAGUAAAUACAUUGAAGAGUGGUCUCUCUGGUCUAAUGAUGUCUCCAUUUUGGCCCUUUUGGCUUUUCAUAACAAAGCCGCUCGACAUUUAGUUGAUUGUAGAGUAGUUGCUAAAUAGCUAGUGUAUGUCAGUGAACAUUUGCAUCUUAGUCAUUUAGAAUACGCUCUUAUCCAGAGCGACUUACAGUAAGGAGUGUAUAAAUGUUUAUACAUUUUCCUACUGGUCCCCCGUGGGUAUCGAAUGAGCACUCUAUACAGGCUUGUUAUAGCCACUAGUACAGUACGUCUUCACUACCUUCAGGAUAACGACCCUGGACAAAAACAAUAAAGCUUAAAGCUGCAAUAUGUCAGCGACCCGACCCGACCAAAUCCACAUAGAAAUAUUCUUGGAUCAACAAGGACAGUUAUGGCCUUAUGUUGAUGGGGAUAACCUGCUUGACUGAGGAGGCCCUCUGGACACGAACCACAGAGGGAGCUCUGUACCAAGCAAUCACCUUAAUUGCUAUUCAUGUUACCUCAAUCACUAUCAGGCACUUCACACACCAGUCAAACAUUGGAAUUAUCUGAAAUCUUAUCUGUCUAUUGAGCCUUAGAGCAAGCAAAGAAAAUAGUUAUUGAUCUCCAUUGAUGGUACGUGAUUUGUCUAAUACAGUAGGGCGGCAGGUAGCCUAGUGGUUAGAGUGUUGGGCCAGUAACUGAAAGGUUGCUGGAUCGAUUCCCUGAGCUGACAAGGUAAAAAUCUGUCAUUCUGCCCCUGAGCAAGGCAGUUAACCCGCUGUUCCCUGGGCACCGAAGACGUGGGUGUCGAUUUAAGGCAGCUCCCUGCACCUUUCUGAUUCAGAGGGGUUGGGUUAAAUGUAGAAGACACAAGGUAUUCAGUUGUACAACUGACUAGGUAUCAACAGCAGUUUGUUGUUAUUGCUGGAACUCAAAUGAGAUUCUGCCUAGAAACAUUAGAGUCACUGGCAGAAUGUUUACACGUGAUCGUUGGGAUCAGACUUAAAGGCAAUUGUCCAUCCAAAUUUCAACAUGGCAUAUUGGUUUCCUGUAAGCAGUGUAUGGAUAUGGUUAGACAGCAAUCCAUGUUCUGGUUUUGUCCAUUGACUGCUUACAGGGUAAGUAAACCAAUGUUAAAUGUGUGAAUUGGGUGAACUUUCCUUUUAAAAGCUAUGGUCUGACAAUGGCUCCACUGAUUGUGAGAUGGAUCUACACCCUCGUCUCUGACUACUUGAGCCACUUAAAGUGAUUGUGUCAUCUUCUUCCAGGAGAGUUAAUCAUUCUUCCUAUCCCUGUCUGGCCAGCCCUGAUGCAUGACUACCUGAUUUAGUGCCUCUGAGCUAAUCAGAUGCCAGCAGGGAAUUUCAUUAAAACGGCAAUAAAAUAAAGAUCUUCCUGCCUUGUCUCUUGGGGUUGGUUUCUGUGUGCCAAGUUGAGUGGGGUUUGUGUUUGU